rnacentral:rRNA from 1 species
GACGAACGCUGGCGGCGUGCCUAAUACAUGCAAGUAGAACGCUGAAGCUUGGUGCUUGCACCGAGCGGAUGAGUUGCGAACGGGUGAGUAACGCGUAGGUAACCUGCCUGGUAGCGGGGGAUAACUAUUGGAAACGAUAGCUAAUACCGCAUAAGAGUAGAUGUUGCAUGACAUUUGCUUAAAAGGUGCAAUUGCAUCACUACCAGAUGGACCUGCGUUGUAUUAGCUAGUUGGUGAGGUAACGGCGCACCCAGGCAACGAUACAUAGCCGACCUGAGAGGGUGAUCGGCCACACUGGGACUGGGACACGGCCCAGACUCCUACGGGAGGCAGCAGUAGGGAAUCUUCGGCAAUGGACGGAAGUCUGACCGAGCAACGCCGCGUGAGUGAAGAAGGUUUUCGGAUCGUAAAGCUCUGUUGUAAGAGAAGAACGAGUGUGAGAGUGGAAAGUUCACACUGUGACGGUAUCUUACCAGAAAGGGACGGCUAACUACGUG